rnacentral:rRNA from 1 species
UACGUAGGGUGCGAGCGUUAAUCGGAAUUACUGGGCGUAAAGUGUGCGCAGGUGGCCGCGCAAGUCGAGUGUGAAAUCCCCGAGCUUAACUUGGAAUUGCGCUCGAAACUACGUGGCUCGAGUGUGGCAGAGGAAGGUGGAAUUCCACGUGUAGCGGUGAAAUGCGUAGAGAUGUGGAGAACACCGAUGGCGAAGGCGGCUCUCUGGACGUACUGACGCUGAGACGCGAAGCGUGGGAGCGAACAG